UUACCAUAUUGAGGAAAAUUUAAAAAAAAACAGAAUGACUGUGCUCAUGCGUAAAGCUUACAGAUGCUUCUUAUAAGACAUGUACAACAAUCUAUAAGAUACUACGGACGGGUUCACAAAAUCUUACAAAAGAUGGAGGAAAAAAACAUAAAGAAAAUCACUUCCAAGGUUCUAGCUAUGGCAUCCAAACAAUAAGAGGUUUAAGUUGGCAUUACUGUUCAAGAUUGCGACCCCCAUUCAGAGCCCAUCCCCAGAGACGCCGUACAGAAGAAGCUAUUGCUACUGUAGAGCGUAGCAUUGAGGAAGACCCAAAUAAGUCCAUCCGCAAUCGAGCACAGUAAUUGGAUCUGUGUCCAUCCACUUUAUGGAAGAUUUUGCGGAUGGAUCUUGGUUUGCGUGCUUACAAAAUCCAACUCGUGCAAGAAUUGAAGCCAAACGAUCAUCAAGCUAGGCGUAGAUUCGUCGAAUGGGCCCAAAACGAGAUUGCCGUUGUUCCCGAUUUUCGUAAGCGAAUUUUGUUUAGCGAUGAAGCGCAUUUCUGGUUAAAUGGCUACGUCAACAAACAAAACUGCCGCAUUUGGAGUGAAGCUAAUCCUCAAGUGUAUGUCGAAACACCGUUACAUCUCAAAUCAAAAACUGACUGUUUGGUGCGCCUUAUGGGCUGGUUGAAUCAUUAUUCCGUACUUCUUCAAAAACGAUGAUGGCCAGAACGUUACAGUCAAUGGUGAUCGGUAUAGAGCCAUGAUUACUUACUUUCAUUCCUGAAUUGAACAACCAUGAUGUCCAGGAGCUGUGGUUCCAACAAGACGGCGCAACAUGUCACACAGCUCGUGCCACAAUUAAUUUAUUGAAAGACACGUUUGGUGACCGCCUAAUUUCACGUUUUGGACCUGUGAAUUGGCCUCCAAGAUCUUGUGAUUUAACACCGCAAGACUUAUUUCUGUGGGGCUAUGUAAAGUCAUUGGUCUAUGCGCAUAAGCCACAAACGCUUGACCAUUUGGAAGACAACAUUCGCCGUGUUAUUGCCGAUAUACGGCCACAAAAAACGUCAUCGAAAAUUGGACGUCCAGAUUGGACUACAUCCGAGCCAGCCGUGGCGGUCAUAUGCCAGAAAUCAUAUUUAAAAUGUAAUGCCACAAGAUAAAAUUCAUGUCAAUCGAAUAA